rnacentral:rRNA from 1 species
GACGAACGCUGGCGGCGUGCCUAAUACAUGCAAGUCGAGCGCAGGAAACUGACGGAACUCUUCGGAGGGAAGGCAGUGGAAUGAGCGGCGGACGGGUGAGUAACACGUAAGGAACCUGCCUCAAGGAUUGGGAUAACUCCGAGAAAUCGGAGCUAAUACCGGAUAGUUCAACGGACCGCAUGGUCCGCUGAUGAAAGGCGCUCCGGCGUCACCUUGAGAUGGCCUUGCGGUGCAUUAGCUAGUUGGUGGGGUAACGGCCCACCAAGGCGACGAUUCAUAGCCGACCUGAGAGGGUGAUCGGCCACACUGGGACUGAGACACGGCCCAGACUCCUACGGGAGGCAGCAGUAGGGAAUCUUCCACAAUGGACGAAAGUCUGAUGGAGCAACGCCGCGUGAGUGAUGAAGGUUUUCGGAUCGUAAAACUCUGUUAUAAGGGAAGAACACGUACGAGAGGAAAUGCUCGUACCUUGACGGUACCUUACGAGAAAGCCACGGCUAACUACGUGCCAGCCGCCGCCGUAAUAC